rnacentral:tRNA from 1 species
ACUCAAAUAGUUUAAAAAAAAUGUGAACUUGUGGUGUUUAAGAUAUAGAUUCUAUUUUGAGUA